CCACACCCCAUUGCCUUUUGCUACAGAUCAUCAUCAAUUUCAAGCUACUGCUUUUUGCCUCUCUCUUUCUUUCUCUUCAAUUAAUUAUUAGGGUUUAUUUUCUCCUUUUAAGGGCUCAUCUCCAGUAACUUCUUGAAGCUAUCUUGCUAACUUCUUAAUAAUUUCAUGACCUAUGAGGAAACAAAGCAACUGCAUAUACUGAACUUAUAAAGAGCUAGCUAGCACCCACACUAAGGAAAGG
rnacentral:lncRNA from 1 species